UUUCUAACGCCUUCCUACAAUGGCAUCCAUGGGGAAGAAGAUCAAAAAAGUCAAGAUGGCAUUUGCAACUACACAAUCCAAGCUCCACCCAUUUUUAUGUGCAUUAUGUAGAAAAUGUGUGGACUUGGAUCACACAACUGUAGCUGCCAUCUUGACUCUUUUGACCCCCUGCCCCUGUGCACAGCAUGGAUUGGGUUGUAGGGUGGACAGUCCAACUGAAAUAGGUCCUAAGGAGGAAGGGCAAGGCAGACAAAGAUCACUGCACAGCCAGUUUCAGCUGAAUAAAAUCAGCACAUGGUUUAUGGUUUUAUGAUUGGUUCAUCAUGGUUUCUCAUAGGCUGAUUUUAUUCAAUAUGUACACCUGCAUUCAUGCAACCUGCUUUUCAGUAGUUUGACACAGGUUGUAUCCUGCCACGGAAGGAUACGCCUCUUGAAAAGCAGGAUAUAAAUUAUGGUAAAAUAUAAAUAAAAGGUCACAGAAAAAGAGACAUUUUAUUUUGCUUAUUGGUUCAAAUAGAGAUGAUAAUUACCUCCUGCCUUCCUUCAUUUAACAACUCAGUUUAGCUACUCUUUGACUAUUAUUUUGUUGGAAUUUUGAAAUAUUGACUGUGUCUCUGUUCUGUCCUCACACAGGCAUCUCAGUUGGGAAGAUGGAGGCAAAAGCCACAUUUCCACCCCGGCUGCAAGUGGCUUCACUCCCUAUUCUGGUUGUGAAGGGCACUUCCUUCUCCCUACUACCAUCUUCCCCUCCCUAAGCAGCUCAGUUUCAGCAGCACUAUUGUGAACCAUAUUAAAAUUUCAACACGGACAGUGGUGGUUUCCAAUUUUCUUUUAACCCCUAGAGCAGAGGCGGGUGGGCGCACAGGGAAACCUUUCACCGAUGCCUGGUUUUUUUCUCCCCUUUUCUGAGCCACCGUCUGCCCUGCGGCCCUCCUGAGGCAAAAACAGUAGCCCUGCUGCCUCAGGUGAGCCUUUCCAGCUCUUUGAGAAGAAAAAGAAGACACGCGACAGACACACGCGCAUGUAGCCGUGUCACCUUUAGUUCCCGCUGUGGAAGUGGGGCGGGGGAGUGGCAGAAAGAAAGGGACCCCUUGGGAAGGGCCUCGUCUGUCUUUCCAGGGUGACGACUGGCAGAUUCUACAGCUCGUUAAACGAGGCAGAGCGGUCCUGUGAUCAAUGGCUUUCGAGGGGUUCAGACAAAGCAAUGCAGCUCCAGAGAAGGGGGAGGGAUUUAGAGACCAAGCGAAAAAGUCAUCCCUUCUUUUUCCCCGCCAGAGAUAUGAAUGCAAGACUCAACAAAGGCUCAGCCGGGGAAUUGACAGGGGAAACGAUCGAGGAAAAAACUGAGACGUCAUCGGGUCUCUCCAAGGCAUGACAGUACAUGCAGAGGAAGGAGCCCCCGCCAGCCUCCGCAAGGCUGGCUUCUGUCAGUAUUACUACAGCGUUUCCCACCCCCCACCUCCAUCUUCAUCACAGACGCGUCCGCCGCCGCCGCCUUUCUCCGAGGAUCCAAGAAAGACCGUCUUUCCCGAGCGCUGAUCCGUCCCUUAGGCUGAUUGACAAGCCUGAGGCAAAGACGCGACCCCGCGCCUCGGCUGCCCGGAGAAAUACCACCUCCAGCGGGCGGACCAAAGCGGGAGAAGCAAGCAGGACAAGGUCAGGCGAGCGCGAUCGCCCAGCAAGAUGUCCUCAGAAGGAAGAAAUGAUAGACUGAAGACAGCUCUGCAAAAAGCAGAGCUGACUACCACGGUGAAGAACAAAAAGCUGGUGUCUUCGUUCAGUAUCAACUGAGAGGAGCUCUAAUCGUACAGAGCUGCUUUGUCCCUCAGCUUGAUGGGCCUUUACUUCCC